CUGAGACGACAGGUCCAGACUCCUACGGGAGGCAGCAGUGGGGAAUCUUCCGCAAUGGGCGCAAGCCUGACGGAGCAACGCCGCGUGAGUGAAGAAGGGUUUCGACUCGUAAAGCUCUGUUGUUGGGGACGAAUGUGGAGAUGGUGAAUAACCAUUUUCAAUGACGGUACCUGACGAGGAAGCCACGGCUAACUACGUGC
rnacentral:rRNA from 1 species